rnacentral:rRNA from 1 species
UACGUAGGGGGCAAGCGUUGUCCGGAAUCAUUGGGCGUAAAGCGCGCGUAGGCGGCCCGGUAAGUCCGCUGUAAAAGUCCAGGGCUCAACCCUGGAACGCCGGUGGAUACUGUCGGGCUAGAGUCCGGAAGAGGCGAGUGGAAUUCCUGGUGUAGCGGUGGAAUGCGCAGAUAUCAGGAGGAACACCAAUAGCGAAGGCAGCUCGCUGGGACGUUACUGACACUAAGGCGCGAAAGCGUGGGGAGCGAACAGG